GCUCCCGGUGGCUCAGCUGGGUAGAGCAUCUGUCAUGUAAGCAGGAGACCCAGGGUUCGAGUCCCGGUCGGGGCA